rnacentral:rRNA from 1 species
UACGUACGAGGCGAGCGUUAUCCGGAAUUACUGGGCGUAAAGCGCGCGCAGGUGGCUCACUAAGUCAGACGUGAAAUCUCCCGGCCUAACUGGGAGGGGUCGUUUGAGACUGAUGGGCUUGAGGACUGCAGAGGUGGGUGGAAUUCCUGGUGUAGUGGUGAAAUGCGUAGAGAUCAGGAGGAACACCGGUGGCGAAGGCGGCCCACUGGGCAGUCACUGACGCUGAGGCGCGAAAGCUCGGGGAGCGAACGGG